UCCGAGUUGACCCCGGCAGUCUCCCAUGAGUCCCCACCAUUACGUGCUGGCAACAUGGAACGAGGGUUGCGCUCGUUGCGGGACUUAACCCAACAUCUCACGACACGAGCUGGCGACAGCCAUGCAGCACCUGUGUGUAGGUCCCGUAAGGGAAGGAAUCCAUCUCUGGAAACCGUCCUACCAUGUCAAACGCUGGUAAGGUUCUGCGCGUUGCUUCGAAUUAAACCACAUCAUCCACCGCUUGUGCGGGUCCCCGUCAAUUCCUUUGAGUUUCACCCUUGCGGGCGUACUCCCCAGGUGGCUCACUUAACGCUUUCGCUGGGACGCAUACUGUCUAUCGCAUACAUCGAGUGAGCAUCGUUUACAGCGUGGACUAC
rnacentral:misc_RNA from 1 species